ACUACACCGAUACCCUCUCCUAAUUUAUUGAUCUCUCACUUUCUCACUCACUUGUGCCUCCUUCAGUAAGUAAUCUUUUUGAAUCUAGUCUAGUCUAGCUUUACUGUUCUACCAUUUACACCAUCUUUCUUUUUGCUACAUCAUUCUCAUCUCUGACUCUUUCCUUUAUUCCUUCUUCUCUCUUUCUCUCUCUCUCUCUCACUUUAGUCUCUCUUCUGUUAUUUUACACUUCACUGUUAUGUCCUCCCUUCUCUAUGGAGUAUGCAUCAGUGAUGUGGUUGAUUACAUUAAAUCAUUGUGUGAUAACUAUACAUUCAGUAUAUGGCACAUUUAGUUCUCAGAUUUAGACAAGUAUGCAAAAAUGUAUGUCACUGGCUAUUGGCUAUUAAUCACUGCAUGAUUUAUUUAUUGAAGUACUAUUAUGUUGCUGGUAUAAUGAAGAUGGUCUCCAGUAAGGUAAUUACCAUUACUAUUACAUUCCGAACACAGAAUAGCAUUACAGUUACCAUUACUAUACUUAGUUUGAAUCACAUUGAUUGCAAUUCACUAGCUCCUAUGUACCUCCCUCUCUUUGUCCUUUUUGCUUCCUCUAUUUACAGUAUACCUCUCAAUGCACCACCAAGCUCAGGAUUUGAGAAGUCUUGCAUUCAAUCAAAUUAAAGACAUCAAUAUCAGGAGGACGUUGUGCAUGUAUAACAAUCCAUUAAUUUUUGUUUUUGAUUUUUCAUCACGUUUUAAUAUAAUGCUCAGUUGUACCAAUCUA